rnacentral:tRNA from 1 species
GGAUAGGUGACGACUAUUGGUAUGUCGUGCUAAGCUGUAGUCUUAGUGGUAGUUACCGUUAUGAGUUCGAUUCUCAUACUAUUCA